GGGCGGCAGCUACCAUGCAGUCGAACGGGAACCUUGGAUUCGUCUGAGGUGAGAGUGGCAAACGGGUGAGUAACACGUAGGUGACCUGCCCCGAAGUGGGGAAUAACCAUUGGAAACGAUGGCUAAUACCUCAUGUGCUCCAUGGUUCGUUCCGUGGAGUAAAGUCCCUGAAAGGGGUGCGCUUCGGGAAGGGCCUGCGGCCCAUCAGGUAGUUGGUAGGGUAAUGGCCUACCAAGCCUAUGACGGGUAGGGGGCGUGAGAGCGCGAUCCCCAACACUGGCACUGAGAUACGGGCCAGACUCCUACGGGAGGCAGCAGUGAGGAAUAUUGCCCAAUGGACGCAAGUCUGAGGCAGCAACGCCGCGUGGGCGACGAAGGCCUUCGGGUUGUAAAGCCCUUUUCCGGGGGACGAGACAGGACAGUACCCCGGGAAUAAGUCACGGCUAACUACGUGCCAGCAGCCGCGGUAAUACGUAGGUGGCCAGCGUUAUCCGGAUUUAUUGGGCGUAAAGCGCGUGCAGGCGGUUUCGUAAGUCGGACGUGAAAGCUCCUGGCUUAACUGGGAGAGGUCGUUCGAUACUGCGGGGCUUGAGGUCGGGAGAGGGACGUGGAAUUCCCGGUGUAGUGGUGGAAUGCGUAGAUAUCGGGAGGAACACCAGUGGCGAAGGCGACGUCCUGGCCCGCACCUGACGCUAAAGCGCGAAAGCGUGGGUAGCGAACGGGAUUAGAUACCCCGGUAGUCCACGCUGUAAACGGUGGAUACUAGGUGUUGGUGGCUAUCGUCAUCAGUGCCGUAGCUAACGCGUUAAGUAUCCCGCCUGGGGACUACGGCCGCAAGGCUAAAACUCAAAGGAAUUGACGG
rnacentral:rRNA from 1 species